ACAGUUUGUAUUUUGUGUAUCUCUCAGUAACAAACGAUCUUGCUGUGGAUGGAGAGUGUGUUUACAGGUCUGGAUCAGCACUCUGAGGAUGAGAAGCUCCAGCAGCUGUUGAAACUGAAGCUGUGUUAUUUUACCCCCAGAGAAGUGGCCAACCUCUUGGGCUUCUCUCAAAGCUUGUCCUUUCCGGAGCAGAUCACCACCAAGCAGCAGUACAGAGUUCUAGGAAACAGCCUCAAGUUGUGGUGGUGGCCAGACUCCUACAGCUGCUGGUGUCCUAACACUUGGGACUCUCUGAAGGAGGAGAGCAUUUUUCACUGUGGAUUAUAUUACAGAUUACUUUCAGCACAAUGGCUGUGCUUCAACAUGUAGUCUGUUUGUUGGGAAUGUUAACUGGUUAGUUGGCCAAACGUUGGACCACUGAACAGUUACAUGUUUCUAACAGUACACGUCUCUGUGGGCCGAACAUAAACAUGUUUUUGUUUUUUA